rnacentral:lncRNA from 1 species
ACUAGGAUACUUGUGUAUAUAUAUAUCAGCCUCUGUAAUAGAGAAAUAUUAUUCAAUGAAAUAAUCUAUUCAAUUUUAUCAUUAACUCAAUAAAGCAACAGAGACACAACCAAAGGAAAGUGAUACUUUUAGGAGCUCAGAGCCUUGUCUCUGCAAGUAGCUGUUACUGCUAGAACUGAGAGUAGUAUAGCAUUAUAUAUUAGCAACAUAAGUACGCUUAGAAACUGGAUCUUCCAGCAAGCAGAAUGCAGGGCCAGAGAGAGAUGAAUUGUACAUUUAUGGUUUUUAUCAAUGGUAUUUGGUAAGAUUUGCACCCAGACCAAGCGAAUCAGAUGAGGCCAAGAUGCUCCACCUUAUGGAUCAUGAUGAUCACAUCAUAUGUACCAAUUCCAACAUAUGAAACAAUAAUGAUAGAAUCACAUAAUGAGCACAAGAAGUUGCUUUCAAAAAUGGUGCAUCAUCUAAUUUGGCCACGGACUGGACUCAUUGUUAAGCAUAAGUAAUCUAACUUGAAUUGGAACUUCCUCUCCUCACAGCUUCUUCUCCAAUCUCUAGCUAGAUCAAACACAAAAAUACCCUAAAAUCACCCAUCCAAGAGGUCCAUAAAGAAUUAAGAAAAAAGAUCUUAUCUUAUAGCAAAUCAGAAGAUAAAUAGUUUUCUCUAAAAUGCUGAGCAUUACACCCAUCCAGAUCCCAAAACCAGAAAAUAUUGCACACUUUUAAAGUAUCUUAGCAUCAUGCCUCCCACCAAAACAUCUGAACCGAGUAACCAGCAAAUAUGUUGGUUAUAACAUGACAUGUUGCUAAGUGAAUUUGGGGGGAAAAAGUCUUAUAUGCAUAUUACUUAUUAUUAACCGUCGUCAAAGGGGAUGAAACAGUAUACAAACUACAAACAAAAUCAUCCUUACAAAAACUAUACCACAGGAAGCAGGCCUUCCUGUGAUAUCCUAAAACCCAAAUGGUUGUAGACUCAUCUUUGGCAAGAUCUAAAAAAGCUACCUAAACCCAAAAUCUUCAGGAAAAUCCAAAAAGGUUAUAAUAUUAUUGUUUUAAAAUAAAAGAAGUGAUUUUGUUAAAUGGAAAGAGAGAAUACAAGGUUGAACAAAAAAUAAUACUCAAAAGAGUGCAGCUCUCCAAUCUCUACUAAGAUCAGAAACAGAAAUUCUCCUAAAAGCACCUGUUGAAAGAGAGACUGAUUUUGGGUUUUUUCAUUAAUACUUCACUUUGAUUUUCAUGCUACUGAGAACAAGUGCAGUGAUUUCUUUGCUCAUACGAUCAGCAAUACCAGGGAACAUGGUCGAUUCACCACUAAGCACAAUAUUGCCAUAGAGAUCCUUCCUGAUAUCCACAUCACAUAUCAUAAUGGAAUUGUAAGUUGUUUAGUGAAUUACAGCAGAUUCCAUUCCAAUUAAUGAUGGCUGGAAUAGGACUUCUGGGCAGCGGAACCUCUUAGCUCCAAUGGUGAUCACCUGCCCGUCUGGGAGCUCAUAGCUUUUCUCAAUAGCAGAGCUGCUUUUGGCAGUCUCCAACUCUUGCUCAUAAUCAAGAGCAACAUAGGCAAGUUUCUCCUUUUCCGCUCAGCAGUUGUGGUAAAUGUUAGAAGAUAUUCUCAACAUACAUGUGUGUGCCAACCCAUCCAUGUGCUGUGCCAACCUAUCCUAGUUCCUUUCCACGUGUGUUCAUUUAUAAUUUAAUUUGUACUAAUGCCUAUAAAUAGGCUUGUAAGUUUCAUUGUAAAAAUAAUUCAAGAGUGAGAAAUAUUAAUGAAGAAACCCAAAAUUAGUUUCUCUCUUUCUACAUGGUAUCAAAGCUCGUUCCUUAUUCUUUGGUAGAAGAACACUGUUCACGGGUACUGUAGCAGAACACUGUUCACCGACACUGUUCACACAUACUGUUCAGCCGUACUGUUCAGAACACUAUUCACCGUCCUCUUAAUUUCUAUCUUUCGCUGCUAUUCUUAUUUUUCUCUCGAAAAAAAAUGUUGAACAAAUCUGUAUGAAUAAAUUGAGUGAUUCCUAUUUCUCCUCCAUAAAUUAUGUUUCUAAGUGUAGUGCAAUUAAUUGAUAUCCUUUGGAAAGUUUAUCCUCCUCGGAUAUAUAUUGUACCUACCUAUUAUAUGGCGGAACAAAGUGUUGCUAGCAGUGAGGUUCAUAACAGUAGCAUGGGACAAGUUGUUAGGAGUCAUACUCUUAAUUCAACAUUGGUUCUAAGUCCUUUCAAACUGGAUGGAACCAACUAUUUGGCAUGGUCUCAAGCUUGUCGCGUGUUUAUUGAGGCCAAUUGUAUGCAACACUUCAUCCAUGCAACAACUACUAUGUCUGAAAAACCGGGUAUGGCCCAAGAGGAAUUCCAUGGUGAAGACAUGAAUUUUUAAUUCGAUGGAACCUAGUAUACAGAGCAGUUACAUGUCUUAGACACUGUCUAUGAGCUUUAGGAGGCUAUCUCUCAAACUUACCCUGUUUCUGAUGAUAAGUCUAAAGCUUAUGACAUUCAUAAAAGAAUCAGUGAGAUGAGUAAGGGGAGAAGACUGUGGCUCAGUAUUUUGAGGAGAUUAAUUCACUUUGGCAGGAACUUGAUCAUACCGAGUUUUUCAGUCACAUGUACAGAAGAUGCAGCAGUUUAUCAAAAAUUUAUUGGUGAAGAUAGAGUUGUGGAUUUUUUGGCUGGUUUGAACAUAGAGUGAUCAAAUUUGAGCACAAUUGAUUGGUUAGACACCAUUUCCAUUACUGCGAGUGACUCAUGCCCGAGUACAACAAGAAGAGAGUAGACGUCGGGUGAUGGUUCUAAAUCUAAAUUUAAAUCUCAUUAACCGAUCAACCAUGGUUGCUUUUGAUCCUAAGCCUGGUUUCUCCAUCCAUUCUACUGUAACACUCGAACGAAAAGGAGAACCGCGAAUGUGACAAUUGUGGGUUAAGUAACCAUACCAGAGAUCGUUGUUUUAAGCUUCAUGGACGCCUUAAAGGUUGUGGAGGUCGGUCUGGUAGUGGGCGUGGGCGUGGUCAACAACACUAGAAAUCUCAGCAUUCCGGAAACUCUAUUCCAAAUCUCUUUCUUCUCAUUAUGCACAAUCAUGUAUACACUUUUGUGGCAAUCUUGUUACUUGGCGCAGUAGGAAACAAUCCGUAGUGGCGAGAUCCAAUGCCGAAACAAAAUAUUGAGCGCCUUAGGUAUAUGUGAACUAAUGUGGCUUCAAACUUUGCUAGAAGAUUUGGGUGUUGCAACUAAAAGGUCUAUACAGUUAUUUUGUGAUAAUAAAACAGCUAUUAGUAUUGAAAAUGACCCGGUACAACAUGAUAGAACGAAGCACAUUGAGAUUGGCAGGCACUUCAUUAAAGAAAAGUUAACUAGUGGUCUUGUUUGUUUACCUUUUUUUUCGUCAAAACAGAACAUCAGCUUGCUGAUAUUUUGACUAAAGGUUUUAGUAGUAAGUUGUUUCAUCCAUUCUGUUUCAAGCAGGGUAUGCGAGACAUCUAUACACCAACUUGAGAGGGAGUGUUAGAAGAUAUUCUGAACAUACAUGUAUGCCAACCCAUCCAUGUGUUGUGCCAACCUAACCAAGUUCCUUUCCAUAUGUGUUCAUGUAUAAUUUAAUUUGUACUAAUGCCUAUAAAUAGGCUUGUAAGUUUCAUUGUAAAAAUAAUUGAGAAGUAUUAAUGAAGAAGCCCAAAAUUAGUUUCUCUUUCUACAGUAAACAUAUACCCUCUCUCAAUAAGGAUCUUCAUCAAGCUAUCUGUGAGAUCACGACUAACAAGGUCCAACCGAAGGAUUGCAUGGGGAAGGGCAUAGCCUUCAUAAAUUAAAAUCAUGUGACUAACACCAUAAUCAGAAUCCAAAACAAUACAGGUUGUACGGCCACUAGCAUAAAGAGACAACACAACCUAGAUAGCAACAUACAUGGUUGACACAUUGAAGAUCUCAAACAUGAUUUGAGUCAUCUUCUCUCUAUUAGCCUUUGGGUUAAGUAUGUCGACUAUUAAUAACAGAACAAAUAGAAUGUUUGUGUUUACCUAAUUCACACAGUUCACACAAAAACUGAGUUUUGUGAUACUGUUUAACUAAAGAGGGAAAUAAAGACUCUAGUACUGAUAAAAGAGGAUGUCCCAGACGUCGAUGCCAUUGAUGAAGACAAGUCAUGUUAGAUUCAAAAGUAGAUUGAAGAGCCUAAGUAGUAGUCUCAUCUGUAAUCAGAGGCAUGUUAGAUGUGGGAACAUCCAAAUAAUAUAGACCACCAACUACACUACCAAUUUUCUGCCUCGUCGCCAUUGGGAAAAAGGUGACUGAGCGAUUCGGUAACACGUUGGAUAGAUAAUAAUUUUGCAGUAAAUGAAAGAAUAUGAAGAACAGAUGAUAAUAUUAAUAAAGAUGAUAAUGUUAAUAAAGGAGUUCAAACUACUAAACCACUCCCGGAGAUGGGAGAAAGAGAAUCAUGGUAGAUACCAUCAGUUUCUCUCUUUCAACAUGGUAUCAAAGUUGCGUUCCUUAUUCUUCACCAAUGUAAAUCGGCGCUUGUUUCUAGUGCCUCGACGCUUUAACUUUGCCCACCAACGCCUCAAUGCUCUCUAUGUGUUUGGUUCAGGUUCAUCCAUUCCGUUUUACAUCAAUUGGUUGCUUUCGUGUGUAGCUUCAUUUUCUUUGUUGCUACUACACUGGUUAAAAAUUUCUAUUGCUUCUUCUGCAUAUAUUUUGUUUCGAAGUGUAGUGCAAUCAUUUGCUAUCCUUGGUUAAAUUUUUCCUCCUCGAAUAUAUAUUGUAUCUACCUUUUAUAUGGUGGAACAAAGUGGUGACUACUGUGGGGGAAGGAACCAUACCAGAUAUCGCUGUUUUAAGCUUCAUGGACACUCUAAAGGUCGUGGAGGUCGGUCUGGUAGUGGUCGUGAACGUGGUUCCCUGGCCUAUAUGUCCACUACAACACUCCAUGUUGAGGCAUCCAGUACCUCAGAAACUAUUACUGCUCUCACUCCCUGAGGAAAUCUCAGCAUUCCAGAAACUCUAUUCCAAAUCACUUUCUUCUCAUUAUGUACAAUCAGGUAUACACUCUUGUGCUCUUAAUAUCUCAUCAACUUGCCCUAGUUGAAUCAUUAACACAGGUGCUUCCGAGUAUAUGACUGGGUCCUCCAAUCUCUUUACCUCAUACACGCUUUGUGUUAGAAAAGACAAAGUUUGAAUAGUUGAUGGUUCUAUUUCUCCUAUCUCCGAAAGUGGUUCAGUAGUUUGUACUCCAUUAACAUUAUUAUUUAUUCUUCAUAUUCCUUCAUGUUCGGGAGCAUUUUACCGACCCUCAUGUGGGCCGAAAGCCUGGUGCUAGAAGGGGAUGAUAAGCCCAUUGGGCCGAAGCCCUCAAGGGUGAUGAAGGGGUUCGGACACCCGAGUCUUUUGGACCGGAGUCCCGUUCGUGGUAUGGUGUUCGGGUUCGAGUAUCCGAGUCCUUUGGGCCGGAACCCUAUUUUGAAAGGAUGAUGUUCGGGGCCGGUCCUUCGAGUCCUCUGGGCCGAAGUCUGGACCAUGUAGAGAGCUCGGAUGGAUUGGGCCUGUACAGUGGGCUGUCCUGCGUACAGAGUCUGGAGUCCUAACCGUAUUUGAAUAAGGUAACUCCAAAGAUAGUGAUUGGAUUGGAUUUCACUUCCACCUUUUAAGGAGAUUGUGUUGGACCCAAAUUAUGGUAACUGCCAUGUUUAGGAGUCCUAAUCCGACUCGGAGAAGGAUUCUAGGUGAUGAGAGUACUAUAAAUACAAGGUCAGAGUUACAAUUAACAGGUAAUACCUACUUUUGAGCACUAAACAUUUAGCCCCCAUUGUUAAACCUUGUGAACGGCCUGUACUUAUUCUCACACCGGAGCUAUCCCUUGACGGCACAAGCCGUCAAGCUUCGUGUGUGAUCUGUUAUUGUGCAGGUUCUAGCGCGUGGAUUCUGUGAUUGGACGCGUCGGCGAAACUUGGCGUUAACAUUGACGCUAGAAGGAGGGGUUUAGUGCUUAUUCAACCACAACCAACUUUUCCGGUAAGAAGUCAUGGCGAGUAGGGAUACAGGUGCUUCUAACCGGGAAAAGGCAAAGACCCACCAAACCACACUGGUGAGGGGGUCGGUGAAAGAUAGAUUGGGUUCUAGAGUGCAGGCGGAUCAGGAGGAACCGGUUGCUUCCCUCCGGCGAAAACUCUUCCAUGACAGCCAGCAUACGCCUAAUCAGGCUAGUCGUGCGGAUGAGAAUAACUCUCAAGCACUGGAGGUGCGAGGAAGGGACCGAGGGGAAGACAGCCGGGACCAGCGGGAAUUUAUCUUGCAGAAGAAGAUGCAACAGAACAAAGACGCCAUGAUGGCCCUACGCCUUCAGCAGGAAGAACUCGAGCAGCAGAUGGCUAAGAUGGCUGGAGAGCAGGAGGCGUCCUCAAAAAGGUGCAGGCAUCGGAGCCGAUCCCGGUCACCUCGACGGGGAGAGGCAGAAAGGGAGAGAAGCAGGCACAGAAGCCUCUCUCGAGACGGCCGAAGUAGAAGGAGUCGGUCGGCAGAACGAAGAUCGGAUCAUCCAGGCCGAUCGGGACAAAGGAGGAGGGACGCGUGUCCUGAAUACGAGAGGGACAGACCCAGAUCGUCCCCUCGUAAAGAGGAGUCCGACCCCCUCGCCCGAAGAGUGGCGGAACUGGAAAAGUUGUUGGCCGCAAAGAAUACACUAGGACCACCUUCGGCUUGUCUGGGGUCGCCAUUCUCGCCCGAGAUAAAUCAUGUUACCGCCGACCCCAAGAAGAAGAUGCCCCCGAUGGAGACAUAUGAUGGGCUGGGGGAUCCAUACGACCACUCAGACGGAUACGAUAGGCUGAUGACAUACUACGGACAUUCGGACGCUGCCAAGUGUCAUAUGUUCGCAACAACUCUAAAAAAGAGCGCCCGAGAAUGGAUGGGAACCUUAGCGGCAGGAUCGAUUAAUUCAUGGAGCAAUCUUCGGGAGAAGUUUCAUGCCCGGUUUGGGAGUAAUAGAAGGCGAGGAAAGAUCACAGCUUCCCUCAUGCAGGUUCGACAGAGGUCAAACGAAAGCCUGGGCCAGUACAUCAAGAGGUUUCGGGAGGCUGUGGGGUCGGUAGCAGAGUUGAAUUCUCCACAGGCCUUGAGGUUCUUCACGACUGGUCUGGAUAUUGGGAAGUCGAAGAAGUUAGUGAAGGAUCUAGUGAGCAACCCUCCUACAGAUUUGACAGAAGCUUUCCAUCGAGAAGAGGGGUUCAUAGCGAUUGAAGAGGCUAUGGGAAACUUCAAACCGCACUCCCAAUCUUAUGAGAAGUCCAGGGAUCGGGAUAAGCCAAGUUAUCAAAGGUCAGAUAAUCAAGGGAGAUCAGAUAAUUAUAGAAGGAAGGCCAAUAAGGAUGGUGGUUCGGGAAGUGGCCAACCACCUUCCCGAACAGAAAUGUCAACAAAGUUUACACCGCCCUCAACACUGAUUGGGCGAAGAUACUGGAGGAGAUGCGGAACAAACCAUUUUUCGAGCCAUGUUCGACGCAUCCGAAGCCUGACAAGAGAGGUCGGGAUAAAUACUGCGAAUACCAUCAAAGUCGCGGGCAUACGACGGAGAUGUGUAACGAUCUGAAGGAUUUGAUUGAGAAGAACGUGCAGAAUGGGCAACUAGUACAGUACGUGGUCGGUCGGGAAGGUUCAGAGGCACCUCGAGAGGAGAACAGAGGGCCAACUCGGGAAACACAGUCGCAACCGAACCCACAAGCCCGAGGGAUGAUUGAUGUAAUUUCGCGCGGUUCGGUAGGGCGUGUAACCGGAAGGAAGAGAAGCGGACACCUCGAGGCCGUGUUGUCAGUAGCAAGUUCAUCGCCCAAAAAAGGCAGGGCCUACUCGGGAGUAUCCAUCUCUUUCUCGGACGAAGAUUAUCCUACCGAUCUCAUUGAACCGCAUGAUGGGGCGCUGGUAAUAACAGCACAAGUCGGGCCAGUGGACAUGAAAAGGAUGAUGAUCGAUAAUGGGUCCUCGGUCGACAUACUGUACAUGCACGCCUACCAAAGGAUGGAUCUAGAAGGAAAGAAGAUGGAGUUAGGUGGAGAGGGCCCAUUGUACGGUUUUAGUGGAGAUCCGGUGCACGUGUCGGGCACCAUUGAGUUGCCAGUCAAGUUCAGCACAGCACCUCAGCAGGCAGAAAUUCUGGUAAGGUUUUUGGUGGUACAGGUGGAUUCGGCGUAUAACGCCAUCCUGGGAAGACCGUCACUGGCAGCUCUGCAAGCAGUAACGUCCAUACCACAUUUCAAGAUCAAGUUCCCGACACCGAACGGGAUAGGGGAGGUAAAAGGAGAUCUUGAUAUCGCCCGAAGGUGCUACCGGAAUACGUUGAUCUCUUCGGGUGUCGGGAUCAGCAAACAGAAACAGACGAUGGCCAUUGAAAUAGAGCCAUUCACUUAGAGCUGUACGGAACCGCUGGCUCUGCCAGCCGAAGAGACAGAGGAUGUGGAGUUGAUCCCGGGAAAUACAGAGAAGAUUAUCAAGAUUGGAUCAGGAUUGACAGAACCACUACGAACAGGACUGGUAGAUCUACUUCGGGUGUAUGCCGACAUUUUCGCAUGGGAGCCUAGUGACAUGCCCGGGGUAAGCGAAUCAGUGGCAUUACACAGGUUACACAUAGAUCCGAAAAAGAAGCCAGUGAUACAAAAACGAAGGGUUUCGCUCUAGAGAGGCAGAGGAUCAUAGAUGAAGAAAUCGCCAAACUCCUGGAAGCGGGUUUUAUAUUCGAGAUCGACUACCCCGAAUGGCUGGCAAACGUGGUUCUGGUUCAGAAACAAAACGGGAAGUGGAGAUUAUGCAUAGACUACACAGACCUGAACAAGGCAUGCCCGAAAGAUUUCUAUCCUUUGCCUAACAUAGAUCAGUUGAUUGAUGCCAAAUCGGGGUACGGCAUGUUGAGCUUCAUGGACGCUUUCUCGGGAUACCACCAGAUUUCGAUGAAUAAGGAAGACAUCCCGAAGACGAGCUUUAUCGCACAUCGGGCCAUAUACGCUUAAGGAAGAUGACCUUCGGAUUACUCAACGUUGGGGCAACUUAUCAACGGAUGAUGAACUUCGUAUUCAGAAAGCAGCUAGGCCGAAGCAUGGAAGUAUACGUGGACGACAUAAUUGUGAAAAGUAUGUCAGUCCGAGAUCAUCUUGAAGACCUAGAAAGCUGCUUCGAAACAAGAAGAAAACACAAGAUGCGGUUGAAUCCGACUAAGUGUACCUUCGGAUUGGGAUUAGGGAAGUUUCUGGGUUACUUGGUCAGUAAGAGGGGCAUUGAGGCAAACCCGGAAAAGAUCCAGGCGAUCCUAGACAUGAGGUCUCCGAAGACAUACAAGGAUGUUAAACGGUUGACGGGGCGGAUAGCCGCCCUUCGGAGAUUCGUGUCGAAGUCAGCCGAAAGGUGUCUGCCCUUCUUCAAUACACUCAAAGGGCCAAAAAAUGAGAAAAGUUUUCAGUGGACAUCGGAAUGUGAAGAUGCGUUCCAAGGGAUCAAAAGGUAUAUGUCUUCGGCACCGUUACUGAUGAAGCCAAUUCCUUCGGAAGCCCUAUACCUAUACCUGGCUGCAAGUUCGAUGGCAGUAGGGGCAGCACUACUACGGGACAAAGGGGGAAGGCAGUUCCCAGUGCAUUACGUUAGCCACGUUCUUCGGGAUGCAGAGACAAGGUACCCGAACCUGGAAAAGUUUGCUUACGCCUUACUCGUUGCUAGUAGGAAGCUUAGGCACUAUUUCCAGGGUCGGCUAAUAGUAGUGUACACAGAUCAACCGUUAAAGAAGAUUUUGAAGAGACCAGAAGUCUCGGGUCGUUUGGCUACGUGGGCGAUGGAAUUAACUCAGUUCGCUCUGGAAUACCAUCCCCGAACAACGAUCAAGGGACAGGCAUUGGCCGACUUCGUAGUAGAAUGUUCGUUCAUGGAGCCGGAUGUAGGGUCGGUUACUGAUACGCAGCAGGGGCAAACUUCGUGGACUCUCUACGUGGAUGGAUCAUCGACAUCGGACGUCAGUGGGGCAGGAGUUAUUUUGACAAGUCCCGAAGGUUUCAAAGUCCAACAGGCGAUUCGGUUUCAGUUCAAAGCCACUAACAAUGAAGCGGAAUAUGAGGCCAUAUUAGCCGGACUUCGGUUGGCCCGAAGCUUAGAAGUGCAGAAGUUGGUCAUCUAUAAUGAUUCACAGCUGGUGGUUAAGCAGUUAUUGGGGGAGUAUGAGGCUCGGGGGGCGAGAAUGUCAAGAUAUCUUGCCGAAGUAAAAGAUAAGCUCACGUAUUUCAGUUCACAUAGCUGUCAGGGAGUUGAUCGUCGGACAACACGGUAGCGGAUGCUCUAGCCAGAUUGGCAACAACCGAAACAAGCUCCUUCAACGGGACGGUGUAUCUAGAGGUCUUAGAACAACCAAGUGUUCCGAAGACGGAGGUGUUAGCUUUGGACCGGCUCGAUUGCUGGCUCACGCCUUAUAUCGCAUACCUGGCAGACGGGGUUCUACCUUCGGACCGAAUCUUAGCAAGGAAAAUCAAGCACAGGAGCUCAAACUUCGUCCUCAUUGACGGAGAUCUGUACCGAAAGGCCUUUAGUUCUCCCUUGCUCAAGUGCUUAACUCCAUCGGAAGCAGACUACACACUUCGGGAAGUACAUGAAGGGAUUUGUGGGGAUCACAUGGGGGCCAAGUCACUGACACACAAGAUUUUGAGGCAGGGGUACUAUUGGCCGACUAUCUAUACGGAGGCCAAAGAAUUCGUCAGAAAAUGUCCCAAAUAUCAGCUGAACAGCACUAUCCCACAUCAGCCUCCCGAAGAGAUGUACUCGGUCUUAUCUCCGAUUCCUUUCGCUUUAUGGGGGAUCGACAUCCUGGGACCUUUACCGAAGGCCAAGGGACAAGUCAGUUUCGUGAUCGUGGCUAUCGACUACAUAACUAAGUGGGUGGAAGCUAAGCCUCUGCAGAAGAUCAACGAACAAGAAUGUCUGAAGUUCUUCAAAGAGGGGGUUGUUUAUCGGUUUGGUAUCCUGAUGGCGGUGGUCUCGGACAAUGGAAGGCAAUUUGUGGGGUCGAAGUUCGAAGCCUUUUUGAAAGAAUUGGGAAUUCAGCACCGAAAGACUUCAGUGGCCCACCCCCAGUCGAACGGUCAAGUGGAGGUCACCAACCGAACUCUGCUUAACGGCAUCAAAAGAAGGUUGGAUGAAUUAAAGGGUCAGUGGCCCGAAGAGCUACUCAGUGUUUUGUGGGCAUAUCAGACUACUCCGAGAAUAACAACUGGGGACUCUCCGUUCCGAUUGGCAUACGGGACCGAUGCACUCAUACCAGUUGAAAUCGGGUCCCCUACUCUUCGGGUCAGUCAGUACAAGGAAUUAUACAAUGAUAAUGGUUUGAAAAUAAAUCUGGAUCUUUUGGAAGAAGUUCGGGACUCGGCUCUGAUAAGGUUGGCGAUCUACCAGUAAAGAACAGCCCGACACUAUAAUCAGAAGGUCAAACAGAGGAGAUUUGAAGUCGGAGAUUUGGUCCUUCGGGAGUCAGAAGCAUCAACUCCCCAGAACACCGGCAAGCUGAUACCUAACUGGGAGGGACCUUAUGAAGUGGUAGAGGUGCCGAAGUCAGGUACAUACCGGCUUCGAGCAAUGGAUGGUUCGGAAGUAAAGAAUACAUGACAUGCUGGAACACUUAGAAAAUUUUACCAGUGAAAGUUAUGUCAUUCUUUUCUUUAUUCAUGUAACCGUUUUAAUCAUCAAUGAAAUAAAUGAGAUUUUUCUUCGGAAACGUUUUACUCCAUUUAUAUCAUACAAUUUUCUGUACCUGAUCAGACAAACUUCGGACUUAAACCGGUCAGAAAGUCGGAGACAACAUAAUUAAUCGGCAGAAGUCACGCGUAUAACUGAUCGGGAAAACUACAAUUUUUAAUCAGAUAAGCUUCGGGAUUAAACCAAUCAGAAAGUCAGAAAUGACAUAACUGAUCGGUAAAAUUCACAAGUAUAACUGAUCAGGAAACUAUUAGAUCAAGACAGACAAGCUUCGGACAUAACUCGAUCAGAAUAGUUCAAUAUCAUGUAACUGAUCGAGAAAAGUCACGAGUAUAACUGAUCGCAAAAAUUUACACUUAAAAAUUUUGUAUUUCAUAUCUUCAUAUCAUUACAAGACCCGAUCGCAUAAGAUUCGGGCAGAGUACAAACAAAGGGAGAAAAUGAAGAGUACAAAAAUUACAAGUCCUAACAGAAGCUACUCCGGAGGAGGCUCAUCCCCAGUAUCGGAUUCUUCGUCCGAAGAGUCAAGAACAGAAGCAUCGAGCCCGGCAGCAGUUAAUUUUGCCCGAGCCUUUUCCCGAUAAGUCUCAUAGCCUUCAGUGAACUGGGCCAUGAUCUUCUCGGUCAAGGCAGGAGACUCUUCAUAUUCCUCGAUGGUGCGCUGCUUGACCCCGGCACAUUCAUCCUUCAAGCCGUUCACUGCUCUCUUCGGACAGAUGGUCUCUCUCAUCCAGGAGCUUCUUGGCGUGACCUUCGAGGCCAACGAACUCCUGCUGAAGCAGCGAGUAUUGUUUCUUGAGCUCGUCGGCCUGACGUCCAGCCCUGGUCGCCUCAUUCCGGGUCUCGGCAUGGAGAUCCCUUUUCUUCUUCAAGUCUGCCUUCAGACCUCGAACCUCAGCCUCGAGAAGUUGCACAUCCGACCUCAGUUAAACCUCUUUUUUGGUUGUUCGGGCUAGAGGCGGAAUAGCUCAGGCAAGGAUAGCGUUGGCCUGCAGAAGAAGGAGCAUAUCAGCUAUGAGGGAUAGAGCAUGAACAUAACAGAAGUGAUUCAACGACUUGGGGGAUUACCUGGCACUGGGCGCGGACGUAGGCAACCAGGUACUCUUCGGAGGAGAAACCCUUAAACCGCUCGUCAUCACCCGACAAUUUGAAGUGAUCGAACAAGUUGAAGGGAAACACUUCUAAAGGGGCCUUCGGCCAACAAGUGUUUGGCGUACCGUGAGAUAAACUCGGUUUGGACGUAGGCGUUGAGGUGACGAGGGGAUCGGCCUCAACAACUUGUUGCUCAGGGCCUUCAGUGAGUCGCGGCUUCUUGGGUCGGGGUUCGAGAGGAACCCCUUCGGUUUCCUCUGAAUCCUCGAUCACCGCGACCUGAGUAGGGGGUGGAGGAGUCGGCUUCGGCACAACUGCAGAGGUGGCCUUGGCAGGGACCUUUGUAGAUGGUUUGGAAGGCUUCUUCGCCUUCUUUAACAGAGCCAUUUUCUCAGCACAGCUCAUUUUCAGAACAUUCUUGGUGGCGGGCUCAGUAGUAGAAGUUGGAGGAGCGGGGCCCGAAACAGAACCGGUUGAAAGUUCCGCAAUCGAGAUGGUCUCUUCCUCGGCCAUCUCGUCGGUGAUCGGAAGGCAGAUCGGCUCGAUGGUGAUAGGAAAUGGGGCUAAGGAUUCAGCGGCCCCUUCGGGCUUGAAAAUUGUCACUGCACAAGGAAGAAGUGGUCAAGACAGAGCUAUUAGAGCAGGGCAAAAGAAAAUUAUAAGAACUGGGGACAUGUCGGAAAUUAGAAACUUAGCCCGUGCUUGUAUAGCCAGGCUUCGCUGGACAGAACGGCCAAACUCCAUUCGGUCUUGCUCAGCCUCUUGUAAAAUGACUUGAAGGCGUCGGCUCGAUCCUUUGGAAAUUUGGAUACCUUCGCGAUAGGGUCGUCGGGAUGGGCCCAGUUUGGCAGAAGUUGGAGAUCAGUCCCUUUCACGAAGAUCCAUUGUGGAUGCCAUCCCUUGUUGCUUGUAGGAGUUUUGAUGAGGACCAAACGGUUAGGUUGCUUGUUCAGUUGCCGAAGACCAGGUUCUUUCGACCUGCCAACGGUGAAUAAGGCAAAGAAGAAAUCGAGGCCAGGAGUGAUUCCGAUCUCCUGGCAUAGGGCUAUAAAAGAGAUCAAGUGGAUAUACGAGUUCGGCACAAGCUGUGCGAACCCGACUCCGACGAAGCAGAGGAAGGAUGAGAUGAAUUCGUGGAGGGAAAACCAAACCCCAUACUUCAGUAGGUAUAGAGGUACGGCAAUCCAUUCACCAUCGGGCCUCCAGAACAUCUUUUCUCCGGAUUUGGGUACCCGAAGCUUGUAUUCUUUGGGGAUGUUGGAAAGGGUUCGGAUAUCGAAAAUUUGAGAAGGAGCGACGGUAGAAGUGGUGUUGAUAUGGGAAAACUCCGUCUUGGAAUGGUAGGCGUUCCGGAUUUUGGCUUCGACACUGAUCGGGGUAGGAAGGACAGAGGAGGUGGAAAUAUCGGUAGGGGCGUCCAGGAGUUCGACCGGAAUCAGGUCGCCGGUGGUGACGGAGAGUGGAAUUUGCUCGGUGGUGGGAAGAAUGUUGGAAUCUGCCAUUUGAAGAGGAGAUAGGAAUGUGGAGUUCCAGAAGCUAAAACGAACAAAAGGAAGUUGGAAAUGCGAUGAUUUCGACUAGAGAAGUAUAAAUAAGAGGAUGUUUAAAUGGAUUGAUAGCUCGCCGGAAAUCGCCUCUGCCGGAAAAUUUGAACAAAGAUUUUGAAGUACAGAAGUCUGGGAAAGGUGACAGUGAUUGACGGAAAGGGGUUUUUAUAAGUAGGGUUGCGCGAAACCCAAGGGCGGCUAUUAAAUGCGCAGGGUGGGCCCAAGUUUGGGAAGGCGUGCAGCGUUUCGAAGAACGAGGAAAAACCGCUUAGGUUCCCAGGCAACUCAUCAUUAGUUGUCGUGACUCUUCGAAUCCUUAGCCUCUCAAGUCUCUAAUUAUAAAUAAAUUAUAACAAGAGACUGGGGGGCAAUGUUCGGGAGCAUUUUACCGACCCUAAUGUAGGCCGAAGGCCUGGUGCUAGAAGGGGAUGAUAAGCCCAUUGGGCCGAAGCCCUCAAGGAUGAUGAAGGGGUUCGGACAUCCGAGUCCUUUGGACCGGAGUCCCGUUCGUGGUAUGGUGUUCGGGUUCGGGUAUCCGAGUCCUUUGGGUCGGAACCCUAUUUUGAAAGGAUGAUGUUCGGGGUCGGUCCUUCGAGACCUCUGGGCCGAAGUCUGGACCAUGUAGAGAGCUCGGAUGGAUUGGGCUUGUACAGUGGGCUGCCCUGCGUACAGAGUCUGAAGUCCUAACCGUAUUUGAAUAAGGUAACUCCAAAGGUAGUGAUUGGAUUGGAUUCUACUUCCACCUUUUAAGGAGAUUGUGUUGGACCCAAAUUAUGGUAACUGCCAUAUUUAGGAGUCCUAAUCCGACUCGAAGAAGGAUUCUAGGUGAUGAGAGUACUAUAAAUACAAGGCUAGGGUUACAAUUAACAGGUAAUACCUACUUUUGAGCACUAAACAUUUAGCCCCCAUUGUUAAACCUUGUGAACGGCCUGUACUUAUUCUCACACCGGAGCUAUCCCGUGACGGCACAAGCCGUCAAGUUUCGUGUGUGAUCUGUUAUUGUGCAGGUUCUAGCGCGUGGAUUCUGUGAUUGGACGCGCCGGCGAAACUUGGCGUUAAAACUUCAUUUACCACAAACUUAUUAUUUAUCAAACGUCUUACCGAAUCCUUACAUUACUCGGUCACUUUUUUCUCAGCUCAUUUUUUUCAGGACUUGGUGACGGGACAAAAGAUUGGUAGUGUAGUUGGUGGUUUAUAUUAUUUGGGUGUUCCCACGUCUAACAUGCCUCUGAUUACAUAUGAGACUGCUACUUAGGCUCUUCAUUCUAUUUCUGAAUCUAACAUGACUUCUCUUCAUCAACGGCAUCGACAUCAGUACUAGGGUCUUCAUUUCCCUCUUUAGUUAAGUAGUGUCACAAAAGUCAGUUUUUGUGUGAACCGUGUGAAUUAGGUAAACACAAAAGUUCUAUUUAUUCUGCUAUUAACAGUCGACAUACUCAACCUAAAGGCUAAUAGAGAUAUGACUCAAAUCAUGUUUGAGAACUUCAAUGUGUCGGCCAUGUAUGUUGCUAUCUAGGUUGUGUUGUCUCUUUAUGCUAGUGGUCGUACAACAUGUAUUGUUUUGGAUUCUGGUGAUGGUGUUAGUCACGCAAUUCCAAUUUAUGAAGGCUAUGCCCUUCCCCAUGCAAUCCUUUGGUUGGACCUAGUUGGUCGUGAUCUUACAGAUAGCUUAAUGAAGAUCCUCACUGAGAAAGGGUAUACGUUUACCACAAUUACUGAGCGGAAAAUUGUCCGCGACAUGAAGGAGAAACUAGCCUAUGUUGCUCUUGAUUAUGAGCAAAAGUUGGAGAUUGCCAAAAGCAGCUCUGCUAUUGAGAAAAGUUAUGAGCUCCCAGACGGGCAGGUGAUCACCAUUGGAGCUAAGAGGUUCCGCUGCCCAGAAGUCUUAUUCCAACCAUCAUUGAUUGGAAUGGAAUCUACUAGAAUUCACGAAACAACUUAAAAUUCCAUUAUGAAAUGUGACGUGGAUAUCAAGAAGGAUCUCUAUGCUUAGUGGUGGAUUGACCAUGUUUCUGGUAUUGUUGAUCGUAUGAGCAAAGAAAUCACUGCACCUGCUCCCAGUAGCAUGAAAAUCAAAGUGAAGUAUUAAUGAAGAAAUCCAAAAUCAGUUUCUCUUUCAACAACACCCAUUGUAUGGGCCCGUUAAAAAAAUCCAAAAAGGUUAUAGAGAACGCAAAAGCAUAAUAGUUUUACAAAAACAAAUUGAGGUUUAAUGUCCAAAAUCCUUUAGCUUUUUAUAUUUUUUGUUUUUUAUUUUAUUUUGACUUUGACCUAACAAAUGUAGGUUUAAUGUCCAAAAACUAGUAAUCUAGUAUGAAACAGGUGAUUUAAUGAUCACUUUAAGUUGCUUAUUGUUUUCCCUUCUAGAUAAAAAAAAGAAAGUUUGUUAGAAGGAUAAAGAGAUUACAAGCAAAGGGCGGAAGAGGAGUCUAAACACCCUAUAACAAAUGGAAAUAAAAGGAAAAUGCUAAAAAGACGGCACCUCUCCAAUCUCUACAAAUAUUAGACACAGAAAUACGAUUGAAGCCAAAGCGAAGAAAGAAAAAUAAUCCUCUCUUGCAGCAAACCAAAUGAUAGAGAACUGUCCGUGAAAAGCUAAGCAUCACACUCAUCCCAAAUUCCCCCAAAGCACUUAAAAGGGUGCACACUUACAUAGCAUAUUUCCUCCCCAAAAAUCUUUGAAUCGAGUAAGUAACAAAUCCUUCACAUAUGCGGUACAUUACCCACUCCACAGUCCACACACCAAAUAUAGAGUUCGACAAACCCCACAGAACAAUAUAUUCAAGUAGCUUAGUCCACUAACUAAACCUUACAUUUAUCACGGUACUUAUGUUUAUUAAAAUUUAAUCUAUAAAUGAAGACACUACCAUAAUUAGUGCAUCGUUUUGAUGCAUCAAAUCUAUUAUGUUGUUGCAUGAGAAUUAACUUUGACGUUAUGAACUCAAAAAGUAACUAUAUAAAUAUAUGAAAUUAACCAAGUAAGAAUCCACUAAAAAAAUAAAUAAAUAAAACUCUUUCAAACAUAAAUUGUAUUCUAUACCUUGUCGACCACACUCAUCACAUGUCACACAACAAGUCUCUUUUAUCACAUUAAGUCAAACCAUCAAUAGAUGUCGACCACAAGUCUUAUAAGAAGUAUAACAAGAAGUCUCUUUUACCACAUUAAGCCAACCCAUUAAUAGACGUCUCUUUUAAAUUAAUAUUUCGUUGUGCAAAUCAAGUAAAAUUAACUUGCUUAACUACUUGGUAACUAAUCUUUAAAAAGAAAUUUUAAAGAACAAUUCAACCCCCUUUAUAGAUUCUUCCGAGUGCUUUUGGGAAUUACAAGUGGUAUCAGAGUCACCAUUGUGCAACAAAAUCAAUUUUGAGCUUUGUGGUGGAAACAAGUCACCAUUGUGCAACAAAGAUAAGUUUGCUAAUUGGAAUGUUCGUAUACAAACAUAUAUGGAUGCAAUUGAUGAUGAACUAUUUGAUGUUGUGCUUAAUGGUCCACACGUACCAACAAAGCUUGCUCCAACUCUAAAGGACCCAAACAAAGUAGCAAUCAAGUAAAGUCUGAAGAACAUCCUAUUCAUGAAUCUUGAAUAUGAGUUGUUCGAAAUGUAGUCAACUAUAAGAAUGCAAAAGAAGUUUAGGAAGCUCUCUUAAUUAUGCAUGAAAGCACUGAGGAAGUAAGGGAGAACAAGCAAUAAUUACUCACUCAACAGUAUAAAAUGUUAUCUCACAUUCCUGAAAAAGAUAUCAUUGGUACCUAUGAAAGGUUCAAUGUUUUGCUCAACUCACUCGGAGUAUUUGGGAAAGUUUAUCCCAACGAAGAUCUGAAUAUCAAUUUCAUGAGAGUCUUGCCAAGCAAGUGGACACAAAAACCACUACCAUUUGAGAAUCAAAGAACUUACAUGAGAUGACAGAGUGUUGAAACAACAGCCGAGACAAGAAAGAAAGAUAAGGGUGUAGCCCCUAAAGCUAUAGAGAUCUCCUCCAAAACCCACAUGGAUCUGGCUUUGCUAGCCAGAAAACUAAGAAAGUUUAUAAGAAAAGGAAGAAGCUGCAACAACAAUAGAAGAUUCAACAACAACAGCAUCAACAAUAAGAGAGACUCCUCCAAAGACCUAUGCUAUAACUGUAAGAAGCCAUACCAUUACAUUGUUGACUGCAACAAGCCUUUUAAGAGAGGAGUUCAAGAAGUAUACGAAGAAGGAAUUCUGAAAGAAGGACCCACAAGUCUUACAAGAUGUAUAACAAGUCUCUUUUUACCACAUCAUGCCAACCCAUCAAUAGAUGUGGCAUAUAAAAUCUUAACAUAAAACCAUCUCUUUACUUGAAACUUGCCAAGUAAUUUUUCUUCUUCAGUUUUUAUUAUAGUUUCGUUUUAUAUUUUAUUAAGUUUUUGAUAUAGAUUUUUUUAAAUUUUCAAAACUAUGUCAUGGAAGCUAUUUUUCUCUAGAUAACUACUUUCAAAAGUAUGUUUGUUCGAGUCGAGAUGUUUAAUUUCAAUAUAUUUUUUAAAGACUGACAAAAACACUUGCAUUGCAUGUGUCAUGCAUCAAUUUCAAAACCAAAGAAAAAAACUACAAUUUUCCUCUAAUAACCAAGAUUUUUGUUAAUAAUUAAAUAUUAAUUGAUUUUAUUUUAUAAAAUUAUAAUUUAAUUGGAAAAUGUAAGUUACUAAUUUUUUUUCGUUUGGAAAGUUAAAUUCUUCUAAUAAAUAAUUAAAUAAUUAAUUUAAUUUAAAUUGAAGAGUCCAUUAGUGUUUUGGUAACUCCUAUAUUGUUUCCUUGUUAUAUUUAAAGAGUGGAGGUAUAACCCUAAUCCUAUUCUAAUUUGAUUAGUUGAAUUCCCGAGUAGAAUACUUAUACACAUUGCAGUCCAUUAGAAAAAUCAUAAGGAAAAGUUAUUUGACGUCAUCCUCAUACUUGAAAUUGCUGAAAACCGCAACUUGUCCAAAUUCCCGUCACUAUUUUCAGUCAUAGUUUUGAAAAUUCGUAACUCAGUCAUAUUAACUCUGAAUUGAGUGAUUCUUGAGCCUAUUUCAUAUAUCUUUUCGAGAGCUACAAUUUUCAUGAAGAUAUAAAGAGAUUUUGAAAACUUUAGUGUACCCAAAAGUCAGAUUCUUUACUGCUGCGUAUUGAAGAAAGGCGAACAAGGAAGGAAAAUAUUAUUUUAUAUUUUGAUUUUAAGUUUAGUUAUGAGUGUUUUUAAAUUAGAGAUUGUUUUUAAAUAAAAUAUAGACAUGAAAUUAGAUAUCAUGAUAAUCGGAAAGAGAAGAUGAAUUUAUACAAAGGAAUAUAAUUGGCUUAAAUGUAAACAUUAAAAUCUAAAAAUCAGUUUCGAUAUUUUAAGGUCUAUUGCGUGAGUUAUAUCUCUUAAUCCGACCGUUGGAUCGUUAUAAUUUUUGGAUAUGUUAUACAUAUAUAAGUUAAGAAUAUGUUCACAAAUUUUGAAUCGUUAAAGAGUAACAUAUGAUUUGUUAUGAAUUUUAAGAAGUGACUGGUCCAGGAUUUAUCAAGCAGAUUUUCUAAUAUUUAAAAAUGUAUAACUUAAUGAUUUGAAAUUUGAUUUGGAUGAUUCUUGAGGCUAAAUUGGAGUAUUUAAAGUCUAGUUUCUAUUAAAAUUAAUUAAUUUGAUAAAUAAGUUUUAGCUAAUGGUGGUAAGACCAGAAUAGUGGACUGAUAUCUUAAAAAUAAUUCGUCAUAUUAGGGUUUUAAGAUUUCUUAAGUUUUGUUAUUGACUUUUAAGUUUUGGAGUAUUAAUAGUGAUCUAAGCCGAUAAUUAAAGGCAUCUUAAAUGGAUUACGAAUUAUUCUGGAAUUAUUAUUUAUUAGUUUGGAUUAUAUUUAAUUUGAGAAUAAUAUAUUUAGGUGGUGAAUAACAUUUCGUAUUUGAUAUCGUUGGCAUUUGAGGAUAAGAUUUUGUAAAGUGUGCUAUAACUGAUUUUGAGUAUCAUGUACGGAUUCCGUACUCCACUCCUUUGAUUCUUAUUGUAUUCUAUAUAUCUCGUGAUAUCUCGUCAUUCGUUACCUUUUUCUUAUAAUUCUGUUAGCACUCUUAAAUAGAAAUUUGAUCUUUGAUAUCUUAACUUUAUUCUAUAAUUUGAAUUCCUUUCUUUCUAUUACAAUUUGUAGAUUCUAUAGUUUUUCAGCGAUACUCUCAUCAUGUUGAUUUGUUUGUUUUGCUAAUCGCUCAGGAUUUGGUCCUCGCUUAAUUGUUUCGUUUCUAAUCAAAUCCUUAUUUCGCUUUGGUUUGGUCUAGAUAUUCCAAACUUCAUAUUUUGUAAUCUUUUGAAUUUGCUCUUCAUGCAUAGAACUUUAUUAAUCUUUGUAGAGCAGAACAUGUUGUUACCUUUUUUUGGAGACAUUGUGUUUAUGAUUUAAUUUGGUUCACGUUUAGAAACAUUUUGUUGGUAUUAUAUCGCAUAUGUUGUGAAAUCAUAUCUUUGUAGAAUAUGCGAUAUGGUAUACCUGAGCUAUAACCACCUGGGAUAUCAUAAGCAUGUCCUCUUAGCAUCGAGGCAUAUGACACCUUUCGUGGCAGUGAUCAGUCAACGGCAUAUCCGUUUUGUGGCCCGGUGGGAGUUGGCCAUAUGAUGAUUUUGUUGUGGGAGGCCUAUGGGUCGACCCUAGUUUUCUGUUAUGUUCUGUUUUGCAGAUUGGUGAUGCAUGUGCCAAACACACCUUCCGAUUUUGCAUGCAUCUGGAUUGCGUAGUCCGAUAUGUGAUUGUUUGUGUGGUAUUAUUUGACUUGCCUAUGUGGCAAUGCAUAUUUCUAUUUUGUUCUGAGCUCGGUAUGAAAUAACAUCAAACCCUUUUGAUUAAACCUAUCAUUUUGUUGUGUUAGUCUUGUUCGUUUUAGCUCGAUUUAAUUAAUUUAGUUAUUUCAAUUAAUUGUUUUUGUACUCUAUAUCCAUACUGGGUAUUUGGCUCAUACUGUGUUUUUCUUCCGGCAGGUUUGCAAGGGCGAUUUAGGGUUUCGUGUGAAGAGAGUUACAUUUGACCAAAUAGAUUUAUUUGAUUUUAGGUUUUGAUUAUUGUGUACAUUUUUUGGAGAAUUCUUUUUAAUUCAACAUUGAUAGAAUAUCAACUAUUAAAUAUUUUGAAAUUAUUAGUGCUCUGUUUACUUAUUUUGAGGUUUGUUGUGUUUUGCACGUGACCUCCCUUUCUUAUUCGGGAAGGAGGUGUUACAAUUCCAAACUAUACACUCCUACUCCACACUAUAAGAUCAAUUCUGACUUUUGUAGUCAAUUUGAGAUAUUCUCCGAUACAACUUUCUAAAAAGUACUACUAAUUUCAAAUUCAUCUAUCUAAUGGCACUACUAAUUACAAGAUUUAUUGUUUUCAAAAUUUAAAUGAAUUAAUAUCAACUUUGAAUUUGAAAUGUUUCACAUGCACUUCAAAAAGUCAAAAUUGGUCAAAUUAUAUAUAGUUUCAAAGAAUUACAACCAACUUUAAUGUAAAUGGAUAUUCUUUUAACAUUAUGUGUACUACUAUUAAAACCUUACGGCUAUACCAUCUUUUUUUACACUGUUUCUGAGUUUUUAUAUCAAAAUAUUAUUUCACCUUUAUAUUAGUUUUGUUAUGUUUAUAAUGUAAAGAUAGAAUAGGUAUUAUAAAAAAUAUACUUAGUUUAUUUAGUUAUCCGACCAUUUUUGAACAAAAAAACUUUAGCAAGAAAAGUCACCUAGUUUUCCCUCCAUUUUUUUUUCUCUAUUCAUUAGAAAAUUUUCUAUUCAUUUCUUUUCUUUUCCCUUUUUUUAAAACACAGUAACAUUGUUAUUUUUUUUUCCUUUUCUUUCUUUUAUUUUGCCUCUAACUUUCUGAGUUCCAAAAAAAAUCCCAAUUCCAGGACAGAUAAAAUGUAAGGAACUAGACUAAAACAAAGCUUAUAAUCAAGAAAAAUCAAUCAUCUCUCAAUUUUAACUCUAGUAUGAUAAAUUGAGUAUAAAUAGCUAAAAAACAAACCAAAUGAGACCAACCUUUUGUAGAGCCAGUGAUCAAAACGUUGUAAGGAGGAACCAUUGGCUGUGAUGAAGAAGCUUUGGCCGUAAAAACCCGAGAAUGUGAAGAAUUCGCACCAGGCUCUAAAUUGAGGGGUUUAUGGCGGGAACCAGCGGUAGAGAAACCGUAACGGUCGAAUUUAACGGUUGAUUGAGGGAAGGAAGAGGGGAAUCGAGGAGGGUAGAGGUAUGGGGAGGUUGUAGUAGCAGCGGUGGUGCUAGUGGCUAUUGCCAUUUGGGAAGAGUGGAUUAUAGAGAGGGAAUGGUAGAGAUAGAAGGUGCAAAAAUAGGAUAGACUAAUAAAGAAUUCUAGCUGUUAGAACCAUUUUUUUGGUAGUUUUCUUUUUGCCUUUUUGGAUUUUUUUUU